AGAGUUUGAUCCUGGCUCAGAUUGGACGCUGGCGGCAGGCCUAACACAUGCAAGUCGAGCGGAUGAGUGGAGCUUGCUCCAUGAUUCAGCGGCGGACGGGUGAGUAAUGCCUAGGAAUCUGCCUGGUAGUGGGGGACAACGUUUCGAAAGGAACGCUAAUACCGCAUACGUCCUACGGGAGAAAGCAGGGGACCUUCGGGCCUUGCGCUAUCAGAUGAGCCUAGGUCGGAUUAGCUAGUUGGUGAGGUAACGGCUCACCAAGGCGACGAUCCGUAACUGGUCUGAGAGGAUGAUCAGUCACACUGGAACUGAGACACGGUCCAGACUCCUACGGGAGGCAGCAGUGGGGAAUAUUGGACAAUGGGCGAAAGCCUGAUCCAGCCAUGCCGCGUGUGUGAAGAAGGUCUUCGGAUUGUAAAGCACUUUAAGUUGGGAGGAAGGGCAGUAAGUUAAUACCUUGCUGUUUUGACGUUACCGACAGAAUAAGCACCGGCUAACUUCGUGCCAGCAGCCGCGGUAAUACGAAGGGUGCAAGCGUUAAUCGGAAUUACUGGGCGUAAAGCGCGCGUAGGUGGUUCAGCAAGUUGGAUGUGAAAGCCCCGGGCUCAACCUGGGAACUGCAUCCAAAACUACUGAGCUAGAGUACGGUAGAGGGUGGUGGAAUUUCCUGUGUAGCGGUGAAAUGCGUAGAUAUAGGAAG
rnacentral:rRNA from 1 species